GAAAAGAAACUAACAAGGAUUCCCCUAGUAACUGCGAGUGAAGCGGGAAAAGCUCAAAUUUAAAAUCUGUCAGUCUUUUGGCUGUCCGAGUUGUAAUCUAGAGAAGUGUUAUCCGCGCUGGACCGUGUACAAGUCUCCUGGAAUGGAGCGUCGUAGAGGGUGAGAAUCCCGUCUUUGACACGGACUGCCAGGGCUUUGUGAUGCGCUCUCAAAGAGUCGAGUUGUUUGGGAAUGCAGCUCAAAAUGGGUGGUAAAUUCCAUCUAAAGCUAAAUAUUGGCGAGAGACCGAUAGCGAACAAGUACCGUGAGGGAAAGAUGAAAAGAACUUUGGAAAGAGAGUUAAACAGUACGUGAAAUUGCUGAAAGGGAAACGCUUGAAGUCAGUCGCGUUGACCGGGGAUCAACCCUUGCUUUUGCUGGGUGUACUUUCUGGUUGAUGGGUCAGCAUCAAUUUUGACCAUUGGAAAAAGAUUAGGGGAAUGUGGCAUCUUUGGAUGUGUUAUAGCCUCUGGUUGUAUACAAUGGUUGAGAUUGAGGAACUCAGCACGCCGCAAGGCCGGGUUUUUAACCACGUACGUGCUUAGGAUGUUGGCAUAAUGGCUUUAAUCGACCCGUCUUGAAACACGGACCAAGGAGUCUAACAUACCUGCGAGUGUUUGGGUGGAAAACCCGAGCGCGUAAUGAAAGUGAAAGUUGAGAUCCCUGUCGUGGGGAGCAUCGACGCCCGGACCAGACCUUUUGUGACGGUUCCGCGGUAGAGCAUGUAUGUUGGGACCCGAAAGAUGGUGAACUAUGCCUGAAUAGGGUGAAGCCAGAGGAAACUCUGGUGGAGGCUCGUAGCGAUUCUGACGUGCAAAUCGAUCGUCAAAUUUGGGUAUAGGGGCGAAAGACUAAUCGAACCAUCUAGUAGCUGGUUCCUGCCGAAGUUUCCCUCAGGAUAGCAGAAACUCAUAUCAGAUUUAUGUGGUAAAGCGAAUGAUUAGAGGCCUUGGGGUUGAAACAACCUUAACCUAUUCUCAAACUUUAAAUAUGUAAGAACAAGCUGUCUCUUGGUUGGACUGCUUGGCGAUUGAGAGUUUCUA
rnacentral:rRNA from 1 species